CAUUGGCGCACGUGUAAACGAGGUGCUCUACCUAACUGAGCUAUAGCCCUUGU
rnacentral:tRNA from 6 species